rnacentral:lncRNA from 1 species
AAAUUCCAGCGCAUAGGAGAGGUGCGGCGGCAUCUAGAGGUAGGUUGUCUGGAAUAUGAACAACGAAGUGCUCAUCUACGACCAUAAUGUCCGAGUAGCCCCCGUACGUGGUGGUUCCGUCGUGGUAUUUGCUGGCAUAGGAGAGUAUCAUUUUUGGGCAAUAAUUCUCGAGAUGGCUGUUGCAACUAUCGCAAGAGCGGCAUGAUCCAACCAUGCACCCCACCCCCACUUUGUCUCCAACUUUGAUCUUCUCGACUUUGCUUCCUACCUCUGUCACUUCCCCGACAAUCUCAUGCCUGCAUUGCCAAUUUAAUUUAAUUAACCUCCAGCGGCGGAGCUGGUAAUAAUCGGUAGCGAAGGUCAAAAUUAAUAUAAAAAAGAUAUAUUAUUAAAAAGUUUAUUUAUUUAAAAUAAAAAAUAUUAUAUAUUUUAUAUUUAAAUACUAAAUAAUAAAAAGUUUAAAAUGUUUUGCGGAGCCAGCCCCUGCUUGCCUCCCCUAGUUCCGCCCCUGCCUCAUAUGCAAGGCAUGGCUGAAUUUAUUCCAGUCAAAGUUCCUCUAAACAUCUUCGUUGGACUGCCAAUUGCCAUUCAUCAUGUUUAUGUACAAAAAAUCAAGAGAAUAACUAUACGGCCAUGGAUUUUUCUUGCUGUGUGUACAUACCCGGGAACUAGAGGGUACGUGGACAUACCCCAAUCAUUCUUGGCCAUAUGAAGGUCUGUGUGACAUAUUCCACAAAACAGCACCUUGAAUCGCACAUCCUUCUCUCCUGUAGACCUGUUGAAAGAGGUGUUUCUUGCUUAGCAUAAACCGCAAGUGAAAACGAGAGAUAUUCAUAGGUAGAAAAUCUAUCAGAUCGCCAUUCACCAACCAUAAUAUUGCUAAACAUAUAUAUAAAGCUAUGAACAUGUGAUUCAAUAAACUUAUUUCACAUAAUAAAAAUAAAAGGCUGCCAUAUCUGAUGUAGCCCAUCUUGCAGCUGUGCUGCAUGCUUGUUGGUGUUUAGAAAAACAAGAAGAAAAUGGAUCUAAGUAAAACCGAGCUAGACAGAGAGAGAGAAGAAGUCCCAUAAUUAAAUAAAUAAAGCAGCGACAAGAUGGAGGAGAGGGAAUAACCUCCUGGAGAAUUUGAAAGGAGAGAGGACCCCGGAUUGGUCUCUGGCUGCCCAUCCAAAAGCCUUGGUAGGAUGUUCUUCCUCGUAAGAUUUUUCUGCCAUUUUCGCCUCCUUUUGCUCUAUUUGGUACUGCCGAGAGAGUGUGCAUGGUGCACUAAUUUAUAAUGGCGGGUGGUCAGCCAUUGCGUAUAAUGGGCAGGGAUGACAUGUUGGUGAGCUAAGCACCGUUAGUCGCUCAUCCGUGAGCCAAUCAAUUAUCUCGAGAGAAAAGCCAUCUGUCCAUUAGCUAGUUAUAAAAUUUGAAACGAACAAGAACGUCUUUUUUUGUGUUUUAAAAAUAAUUAAAAAUAAUUAUUUUUUUUUAAUUAUUAUUUUUUUAAUAUUAUUAAAUUAUUUUAAUAUAUUAAUAUCAAAAUUAAUUUUUAAAACAUAUAAAAAAUAUAUUAUAUUAAUAUAUUUUUAUAUAAAAAAUAAUUUAAAAAAUAAUCGUAACCUCAAUCAACAAUCGAAGAGUUUCGAAUCUCAAGUACACGCUGUCGUUUACUCUCAACUCUAUUUCCUUGCGUUGAAUUAACAAGUGAAAACUGAAUUUCCGGCCUCCAAACCAAUGGUUGUGUGCCUCCUAAUAAAAUAAUAUAUUGGAGAAGUUUUGAACCGCAUUUUAUUUAUUCUCUUUAUGGAUCAACAACUAAUAAACAUUCAUAAAAAGAGAUGCAAUGCAAGUAUGCCUGUUAGCCAGACCAGGUGAACGCAAGAAAAUAAUGGCAAAAAAAAAAAACCAAUUCACCAAAAACAAUGUUAUAUGAACCGCAUUUUAUUUAUUCUCUUUAUGGAUCAACAAAUAAUAAAAUCUUGAUUCUUAAAACAAUAAAUAAAAUCAUGAACAGCAAACCAUUUUCUCUUUUUGCAUCAACAGAUAAUAAAAUCAAGAACAACAGGCAAGGUAAUUACACAAAGUCCCUCAAAAAGAAAGUCAAACGAGCAGCGCGAUGUCCGAAUCUACUUAUUAUUAUACAUAGUACCUGUUUAGGAUUGUGUUUGAAAAGCGAUUUUUAUAAAAUUAAAAAAAAAAUUUGUUUAGAAUUAAUAUGUUUUUGAUGUGCUGAUCUCAAAAAUAAUUUUUAAAAAUAAAAUUAUUAACAUAUUUUUUUAAAUAAAAUAUAUUUUAAAAAAUAACCACAACUACCAUCACAAACACGUUAAUAUCCUAGGAAAGCAAGCAGUGACAACAACAGGAAAAACCUGGUGUUUGCUGAGUAUGUGUGCUGAUUAGUACUGUCUGUGGGCUCUGAGAGAGCUUAGACCCGAGGGCUAUUUAUAAGGUUUUGUGGAAGCUUGCGGGACCCCGGAACAGAACCUGGAAGGCUGGAACACCUGCGCCAUGUUCAUAAAUGGCAAGGGGUGUUUAUAUAGUGAGGGCUCGGGUAAGUUUCCACAAAGAAAACGCGUGGGGUCAUAGAUAACGUGGACGGCUGGAACACAGAGGCCAGCAAGAAAACGGAUGGUGCUAAAAAAUAAUUUGAUUUUUAUUAACGUUAGCGGACACUUGUCCUCAUUUUAUUUCCCUAAAUUGGUAACCGUUACCUAUAACUAGUCUCCAUGUCAAACACUCAACGUAGUUAAAACGGCAUGUCGGCGUGGGAUUGGGUUGCGGGCCUUCGAUUUGGUAAGCUGGGCCUGCAUACUUGGAUCUCAUCUCCCUGCAUUAUUAUUAUUAUUAUGAGUGCUAUAAAUGACAUGCUAAACUAAUGCUUGGAAAAAAAGAAGAAGAAAAUCAACACAAAAAAAAUUGCAAAAGAUAAAUACACACGAAAAAAUAAAUUCAACUAAAAAGAUUUGUAUGAAAAAAAUUAAAAAAUACUAUAAAUAAAUCAACUAAAAAUUGAUCUCACGUGAAAAAAAAAUCAUACAACAACAUUUAUAAAACUAUUAAGAAAAAAAACAAUUAAAAAUAAAAUGAAAACAUAUAUAGUGAAAAAUACAUGAAAAAAUAAGAUUUUUUUUUUACCUUAAUAUAGUUGCAAGUGAAGUUAAGAAGAGAAAUUUUUUCGUAAAAUGAUUAAUUAAAAAAAAUUGAGAAAAAAAUAAGAAGGAAGAAGAAGACAAACUUGAGCAUGGAGAAGAAGAGAAGGGGUCGAGGAGAGAAGAAGAGAAAGGGUCGAGGUCUAUUGUGAAAUUAGGGAUUCUAGACUUUUUAUUGGGCGUUUUACCAAUAAUUUUGCAGAUGGAUUAUUAAAUAUUAAUAUUUUUAAUUAUUUUGUCGACGAUUCCGUCCGUAAUAUUUAAUUUAAAUUUUGAAUUUAAUCAAAAAAUUUCAAAAACCAUCAAAUAUCACUGGCGACUUUUCAAUCUGUCGGUGAUUCUGUUUGUAAUAUUUAGUUUAAAAUUUUACUCUAAGCUAAGUUUUUCAGAAAACUGCCCAAUAACAUCGACGAAUUUUCAAUCUAUCGUUGAUUUUAUCUAUAAAAAACAGUAACUAACAAUAAAAUUUGAAAGUGAAUAAUUCCAGAGCUCUGUAAAAUAUAGACAGAAGUUUCUGUUGGUGAUUCCGUUUGUAAUUGGCAUGAUGAAUAGUGUUCACAAUUUACCAACAAUUUUACCAAUAAAAUUUACGGAUAGAAUAAAUUCUGUUAGUAAUUCCGUUGAAAGAACAACUUGUCAUCAUUUUUUUUACCUUGUUUUAUUUUUUUUAAUGUAAUUGUUUUUGGUAAAUAUUGAUGGAAUAUUUUCAUCAGUAAAAUUCUUAGGUAAUCUAUGAACAAAAAAAAUUACAUCAGUAUUUUUAUUUAUAUUUAUCAAUAAAAGUUGAAAAAUUAUUUUUUUAAUAAUCAUCUAUCUGGUUUUUUCGAAGACUACGUACUCUAUCGUGGGAGCGCACUAUUGUCAACCCGGCAAUGAAAGGCAACAUGGUAAUUAAAAACUCCAAAGUCGUGUUUUUGUUCAGCAUUCAAUACAUAAAAAACAGUGAGAAAGAAAGCACUCGUUAUCCAUGUCCCACUCCCACGCAGACAUGAUCUGAUUUAAUCAAUUUUGAAUUAUGGGAUAGUACUGACCUAAUUAAUUUGACAAUUCAACAUCUUAAUAUUCUUAAUUACAAGAGUACUUUGUCCAUGUUUGACGUCCUUUAUUCUUAGAGAUGAGAUGGAAAUAAAUUAAUUUUAUUCAAUGUGUGGGAUUGAAAAGAUCAUGAUUAAAUUGACGCCAAGGGUUCAAGUAAUUAUUAUGAUAAAUGGAAAAAUAAAUUAAUGUGUGGGAUUGAAAAGAUCAAGAUUAAUAUGACCUAUAUAUAUUUGUUAAAACAGGACUUUCUGAUAAUUUUCUCAAAGAAUAAGGUCAUGUCUGCAAAUAACAGGGCUGCUCUCUUUGUUGAAAUCUAAUAGUUUUCCACUGUACUGAGUAAAAGCUUGUGAGUAUAAAAAGAAAAACAUGUGCAAAAAUGUACUCCAUUGAUCGAUUCAUAUAAAGCGAAACUCUUCUGAUAAAUAAUAAAAAGGUGAGGGGCUUAAACAAAAUAAAUCAAAGCAGAAACACUUGGAACAUAAAAUUUACACAGAAAUAGAGGUACUAAAUAACGUCACCUCAUUGCUUCAAUUUUCAAAACAUGAUUACAGUGUGCUUACAGAGAUACCGAAAACUCCAUAAUUUUCAAACCCACGAAUCUCACAUUACAUGCGUUUUAUUUCGUACAGUGUUUACGAGGAGGAGAAUUCAAAUCUUCAUGGUGUUGCCGAUGUCAAUAACAAAUCGGUAUCUGACAUCUGCUUUCGAAAGCCGCACCAUUGCGGUGUUCACAUAAUCCAUCGAGAUAACCUCAAUGUCUGCAGUGAUGUUGUUCUUGGCAGCAAAAUCAAUCAUCUCUUGUGUUUCCUUCAUUCCUCCUAUGCUGCUCCCUCCCACUAUUUUUCUUCCUGCCAAGCCAAGAACAUGGAAUUCGUCGCUGUCAGCUCAAUAAAAUAAAUUUAGAACACAUGCUGAGAUGCAAGCAUAUAUACAUACCCAUGAUCAGAGGAAACACUGGUAGCUCAAGUGGCUUCUCAGGCGCACCAACCAAGACCAGUUUUCCUUGAGUCUUCAAUAGACUAAUCAAAGGCAAGAUAGGAUGUAUGGCCGACACCGUGUCAAUCACACCAUCCAUUGUGCCCAUAGCAGCCUGAAUAACAGACAAUAUUAUAUUAUGUUUGAUGCUUAAUUAGUUUUACAGAUAAAUACAAGGAAUGUGCUCUGAACCAUGUUUAUAUAUAUAUAUACCUGCAUCUCAUCCUGGUCACGACUAACUAGAAACGAGUCAGCACCAAGAUGCUCAAGGGCUUCUUGUUUCUUCUUGGGAGAGGUGCUAAUAACUGUAACCUUGACCCCCAUGGCCUUUGCAAACUUUACAGCUACAUGACCUAGCCCGCCGAGCCCAACCACGCCCACAUGCAUACCCGGUUUGUCAAGAUUAAAAAACCUCAAGGGGCUGUAAACUGUAAUCCCAGCACAUAGGAGAGGUGCGGCGGCAUCUAGAGGUAGGUUGUCUGGAAUAUGAACAAGGAAGUGCUCAUCUACGACCAUAAUGUCCGAGUAGCCCCCGUAUGUGGUGGUUCCGUCGUGGUAUUUGCUGGCAUAGGAGAGUAUCAUUUUUGGGCAAUAAUUCUCGAGAUGGCUGUUGCAACUAUCGCAAGAGCGGCAUGAUCCAACCAUGCACCCCACCCCCACUUUGUCUCCAACUUUGAUCUUCUCGACUUUGCUUCCUACCUCUGUCACUUCCCCGACAAUCUCAUGCC